rnacentral:sRNA from 1 species
ACCAAGAUGCAGACUUACCUGGCAGUUCUGGAGCCCCUGAAAACCUGAUAUUUAAAGAGCAUCUGCCCCACUUUUCACAAGGUCCUGAUGUGUCUGACAAAAUGAAAGCCUCUCUUAAGUUAACAGAGCUUGAGAAUGAACUGAACAGACCUCCUCUGUCACAGGACAUCCACUGUUUAAGCACCACCACUACCUCAGGAAGUCCACUGUCUGUGUGUCAACUCCACUGUUACAGGACUUCAAGUUUCUCAGCAUCUCAACUAUCACAGGAUUUCUACUGUGCAGGAGCUCAAGUGUCUUACAACGUCCAAUGUCAUAGGACCAUCAAUGUCACAAGAACUCCUCUGUCCAAGGAACUGCACAGUCCAAACAACACUAUGAUUGCAGGACAUUCACUGUGGAAACACCUCCACUAUGGCAGGGCCUCCACUGUCCAUACAUCAACUCCACUGUCGCAGAUCCCCCAUUGCUGCAGACCUCCACUGUCACAGGACCUCCACUGUAGGAGCACUACAACUGUCGCAGGAUCUCCAGUGUCUUAUAACCUGCUCUAUCCCAGGACUUCCACUGUUGUAGCAUUACCAUGGUCACAGCAACUACACUGUUUCAGGACAUCAAGUGAAGCUGGACCUCCAAUGAUGCUCCAACUUCUCUGUCACAGGAUCUCUACAGUUACAGGAAUACUCCUGUAUCAGCAAUUCCAAUUGCUGGACCUCAGUUGUCACAUGACCUCCACUGUAGCCGAACCUUCAAUUUUGCAGCACCUCCACUAGAGGUAGAAUGACCUCCCCUAUCACAGUGCCUCCACUUUCAAAGGACCUUCACUGUCACAGAACC